CCCCUAGAUGUUCUGGGCCGCACGCGCGCUACACUGACGAAUGCAACGAGCUUAUAACCUUGGCCGAAAGGUCUGGGUAAUCUCCAAAUUUCGUCGUGAUGGGGAUAGAUUAUUGCAAUUAUUAAUCUUCAACGAGGAAUGCCUAGUAAGCGCAAGUCAUCAACUUGCAUUGAUUACGUCCCUGCCCUUUGUACACACCGCCCGUCGCACCUACCGAUUGAAUGGUCCGGUGAAGCCUCCGGAUUGGCGCGCACCUCGGUGCCGCCGAGAAGUUGGCUAAACCUUACCAUUUAGAGGAAGGUGAAGUCGUAACA
rnacentral:rRNA from 1 species